CUGGCCUGGGAGAUUUUAGGUCAAGUUUUCUUACUGUUUAUUUUAAAUAAAAAGCCAGUUCUGCGACUUGACAUCUUUUUCACACCCACCGCACAUGUUAAUCCUGCUAUUUUUUACUCAUCCAGACAGGCUCUUAGAAGAGACACCCCUCAUCCGCUGCUUCGGAAAUGCUGAGGACAUUAUCCUCCGGUUCACACCUCCCCGUGUUCAAAUCAACAGUCAGAAAUGCCUAAGCAGGACCCUGAGAGUCGUGUCAAGAUUUCCAGCUCACAUUUUGUAAGUUAACAGGUGUUUGAGGCACUCGGAAUGCAUGCAGUUCUGCAUGGCUUAAGCCCUGGAAACGGAAUCUAGCAAAAACCGCCUCGUAA